CAUGCAGUCGAGCGCCCCGCAAGGGGAGCGGCAGACGGGUGAGUAACGCGUGGGAACNUACCUUUUGCUACGGAAUAACUCAGGGAAACUUGUGCUAAUACCGUAUGUGCCCUUCGGGGGAAAGAUUUAUCGGCAAGGAUCGGCCCGCGUUGGAUUAGCUAGUUGGUGAGGUAAAGGCUCACCAAGGCGACGAUCCAUAGCUGGUCUGAGAGGAUGAUCAGCCACACUGGGACUGAGACACGGCCCAGACUCCUACGGGAGGCAGCAGUGGGGAAUAUUGGACAAUGGGCGCAAGCCUGAUCCAGCCAUGCCGCGUGAGUGAUGAAGGCCCUAGGGUUGUAAAGCUCUUUCACCGGUGAAGAUAAUGACGGUAACCGGAGAAGAAGCCCCGGCUAACUUCGUGCCAGCAC
rnacentral:rRNA from 1 species